rnacentral:rRNA from 1 species
AGUGAACGCUGGCGGUAGGCCUAACACAUGCAAGUCGAACGGCAGCACAGUAAGAGCUUGCUCUUACGGGUGGCGAGUGGCGGACGGGUGAGGAAUACAUCGGAAUCUACUUUUUCGUGGGGGAUAACGUAGGGAAACUUACGCUAAUACCGCAUACGACCUACGGGUGAAAGCAGGGGAUCUUCGGACCUUGCGCGAUUGAAUGAGCCGAUGUCGGAUUAGCUAGUUGGCGGGGUAAAGGCCCACCAAGGCGACGAUCCGUAGCUGGUCUGAGAGGAUGAUCAGCCACACUGGAACUGAGACACGGUCCAGACUCCUACGGGAGGCAGCAGUGGGGAAUAUUGGACAAUGGGCGCAAGCCUGAUCCAGCCAUACCGCGUGGGUGAAGAAGGCCUUCGGGUUGUAAAGCCCUUUUGUUGGGAAAGAAAAGCAGCAGGUUAAUACCCCGCUGUUCUGGCGGUACCCAAAGAAUAAGCACCGGCUAACUUCGG